UACAGAGGGUGCAAGCGUUAAUCGGAAUGACUGGGCGUAAAGGGCACGUAGGCGGCUAGAUGUGUUAUAGGUGAAAUCCCCGGGCUUAACCUGGGAACUGCCUGUAAAACUGUGUAGCUAGAAUAUAGAAGAGGUAAGUGGAAUUUCCGGUGUAGCGGUGAAAUGCGUAGAUAUCGGAAAGAACACCAGUGGCGAAGGCGACUUACUGGUCUAAUAUUGACGCUGAGGUGCGAAAGCGUGGGGAGCAAACGGG
rnacentral:rRNA from 1 species